AUUGAACGCUGGCGGAAUGCUUUACACAUGCAAGUCGAACGGCAGCACGGACUUCGGUCUGGUGGCGAGUGGCGAACGGGUGAGUAAUGUAUCGGAACGUGCCCAGUCGUGGGGGAUAACGUAGUGAAAAUUACGCUAAUACCGCAUACGAUCUAUGGAUGAAAGCGGGGGAUCGCAAGACCUCGCGCGAUUGGAGCGGCCGAUAUCAGAUUAGGUAGUUGGUGGGGUAAAGGCCCACCAAGCCAACGAUCUGUAGCUGGUCUGAGAGGACGACCAGCCACACGGGAACUGAGACACGGUCCAGACUCCUACGGGAGGCAGCAGUGGGGAAUUUUGGACAAUGGGCGAAAGCCUGAUCCAGCCAUUCCGCGUGCAGGAUGAAGGCCCUAGGGUUGUAAACUGCUUUUGUACAGAACGAAAAGGUUUCUACUAAUACUAGGAGCUCAUGACGGUACUGUAAGAAUAAGCACCGGCUAACUACGUGCCAACCGCCGCUGUAA
rnacentral:rRNA from 1 species